CUCACAAUGAAGUCGUUUACUUACUUCAAAUUUACAGGCAUUCAUGCCAAGACAACAAGUAGCCUUGGCUGAAAACUGCAGAGUGUGGUUAAGAUACCCUCCUGUCUAGACUGGGCUUCAAGGUGACCAGAGGAGUAGUAAACCUGGAGCCUCACUAAUGGCAGUGAAAGAAAAGUGGAAGAACUGAAAAAGUCUUUCUCAGCUCGGGUGUGAGGUGUUGCAUGGAUAAGGAGAGGCCUGGGGGACAGGUACCUAGGGACAGCAUUUGGGACCCAAGGCAGGACCACUGAAAAGGGACCUUGCACGCUACAAACCAUAUGUGAGAGCUGCUUUCCCAAAGGCGGGAAUAAACAGCCACGAGAUGAAAUAUUCGUAAGUAACAAGAUUAGUGACAUGAGCAUAGC